ensembl:lncRNA PCSEAT prostate cancer expressed EZH2 associated transcript
GAAUACCAAACCUUGUGAAGAUGAGCGUUGGGAAAGGAGUAGGAAGGUCCCAAUUUGGAAUUUUGACAUCCUAAAAGCCUUGGGUGCCGCAGAAUGAGUAAGCUGGAGGGUACUGUGUAAAGACCUCGGCUACUGCAGCAGAGAAACAGAUCAAAAAAGUCAAGACCGGCGAGAGGAAAGUGAUUGAAAGGCCAUCACUGAAAGAGGUGACAAGCUUGGAUUUGGCAGGGCAGGAGGGAUGCAGAGAGGGACGGAUGUGAGAGUCCACAGGAAGAAGCCUUCUGAUUGAAAGGGUGCUUGGCUGUGGAUGUGAGGGACAGAAAGGGGUCGAGGCUGUCACUGAGAUCCUCAGCUUCAGCAAGGGGAUGCAUGGUGCCUUAAUUUACUGUAAGAACAUGGAAGAGGCACAGGUUUAGGGGGCGAUAUGGAGCCCCAUUGUGGAAAUGCAGGGUCUGAGGAGUGCCUGGCCUUCUGCUGGCGCUGCCCAGGAGAGCACUGGAGGAGCAGACGUGGCCUCCGGGAGAUGCUGAGCCAGGGCUGAGGACAUGAGAUGCGCAGGGAGGGCAGACACUCCCACCAGGUCAGAGGAGAGACAGGGAGGCCAGCCCUGCCAAAGCCAGGCCUCAGUUUAUUUGUAGAGUGAGAGCUUGAAUUUCAGGAUCACAAAAGGUUUUUUCCAAGAGCCAAAAGGACUUAGUUUCUAACUGUUCUCCUCCCUCCUUUUUGUGGCUGACAAUGAACAACCUAAUCCCCUUCCUUUCUGAAUAAUUCUCCCUGCCCAGUGACUCACCCAGGUGCAGAUGAGACACAGAGCUCAUGGUUGCCUCCUGUGAAGUGCAGGAAGGAUGGAGCAGACAGACCCAAAAGCACUGGCCUCCCAGAUGAAUCAGGAGGGAUGUGCAGGCUGGGUGACGUCUGCCCCGGAACCAGGAAAGUGCGGCUGCUUCCUCCACACCCCGCCCGCCGCCCAGGACCCAGGGCCCUUCUGAAAAGUGAGCAUUGUGUUGUUCUUUAGACUUAUUUUAUAUGAAAGCACAUCACGCUCUAAGAAGAGUCACCCAGGCUUUCUGUUCUCAGGUGGAGCCUCCCUACACCCUACGCACACGGCGGCUGUUCCCCACGACACAGCGGGGGGCAAAUGACCACCAGGAGCCAGGGAGUCCCAGGGAAAGGACGCAGAUGGCUCGUGUCCUGGAAUUUCAUGGGAGCCAUUUGAAAUCAUCAGCAAAUGACGCCCGAGUCUAUAAGGGACCUCAGCGCAGGGGCUGGAUGAGACAGGGUGGGCAGCCACAAAACAGGGUGGUGAAGGCCCGAGGCCAGGAGGGCUGGGUUAGCACUCGGCCACCAGAGGGAAGCAAGCAAGCUCCCUCCCUCUCUCUCUUUCUCUCUGUCUAUGUGUCUUUCUCUCUCCCUCUCUGUCUCUCUCCAUCUCUCUCUCCACCCACACCUCCUGAGGAUUGUUGGGUUUUCCCAUGGACUAGGGUUAGACAGCCAGCGAGUCUGAACGGAAGGCGCCAGGUGUGGCAGUGGGGAAGUGAGGUGGGGCCUGGAACACAAGGGCAAGGGCCUCUGGGAGGACCGCGCAGGCUCGGCACACUGAGCGGACUGACUGCAGACCCUCCUCCCACACCAGGGGGACCACCUCUCUGUGCAAAGAUGUCCUCACUUGAUAUUCUCAAUUCUUUGAGGUCAAGGUUUUAUUAACACUCCCUGAAAAGUGGGAGAGCUUAGUGAUAAGACUGUAUCAUUUUUGCAAGACACAAAGCAAGCACAGCUGGAUGGCAUGUGCCAGCUCCCUCACCAUGCUGAGCACUUUUACUCACAUCUCACCCCUGCAGACAGAUGCCAGUGUCCUCACUCACCCACUGGGGCAGACAUUAUUAGUUGCCAAUGCAAGACCCAUUUCCUCACGUCCUAACUAAUAGAACCCCAACUGUGUCCAGGCAGGUGACGUGCCCAGCUAAAAAUACUCACCUUUUCAGACUCCCUUGAAGUUAGUAGCGGCCACGUGAUACUUCCAACAAAUAAGACAUACACAGAGAUCUGCUGGGGCUUCUGUGAAAACUUUUACUUCCCUGAAACGGGUACCACCUUCCUUCUCCCAUUCUUUCUUCCUCCUUGAAGCACAGAAGCAAUGCCUGGAGCUGCAGCGGCCAUUUUGUGAUUGUGAAGCAAUGACCUGAGGAAUGAAGGCCAACAUCAAGGAUGGCAAAACAGAGAGAGGAAAAGAGCAAUUGUCCCCUGAUGGCAUGGCUGGGCCACUGCCCCAACCCUGUGAGGCCAUGUGACUCCUUAUUACAUGAGCACAGGCUAGUCGGGGUUUGUGCUAUCUGCAGGUGAAUGCUUGGAGAUUGUACAAAAGUUUAUACUGGAGGCUUUGGAAUUCAAUAGAAGUAGACCUGGGUUAAAGUCA